AUGGAAAAUUAUAACCACUUGUCUGCAAAAAGAGUACCACACAAGUGAUUGCUAUAAAGUAAUACGUUUUAACAAGGAGCAUCAAUUUUUAUUAUAAAAGUUCUAUAAGAAGAUAACAAAGCUAGUUCAUAGUUCACAUACAUGUAGAAUCAAAAUUCAUAUUUUAAAUUAAUUUUCAGACAUAAAAUUUAUAUGAUAUACUGAGCAUACUUCCAUAGCAUAAAUUAAAACGUAAUAUACUAAUGUAAUUAAAUUAAAAAAACUGCAUAGUAUUGAUUAAAAGAACAAUUAAAUCACUUAAACUGAAACCAAAAUUAAUUCUUCCCUACAAUCAUGCUGCACAUGAAUCAUAUAACAAUAUUUCUGUUAUAAAACUAAUCACUAUAAACAAUAUAAUAUCUCAGCACAAGCUUAGUUUAGUAAUAUAUGCUACGCAUUGAGUCAAAAUGUAAUCAGAUAUAAAAUUUUAUGAAAGAAUAUAAUAAUGGUUAAAGUGACUACAAAAAGUAUCCUCAAGUGAUAUGCACUUCUGUUUUCAUCUUUUCCUCCAAAAGUAAGCACUUCCAUUAUUUGAAAAUUAAAAACUACAUUUCAACAACAUUGUUUGGAUUUGUUUUUAGUGUACGUUGAGUACACCGUUGAUCCAGGGAAGCAUCAAUUUAUUAAAGUUUAUUUUUAUACUAAACUACAAGGGAUUUUUUUCUAAUUAAUUUGAGUUUAACUAAUGCGUAAAAUGAACUAUAAAAAUUUAUCCUUAGUGGCUAUCAUUAUCAUAAAAUAUUUAAAUGACAAGUCUUGUUUGUAAAUGCAACACCAUUCUUAGAAUAUUGUCAAGAAAGUGAGUUUCAGCGUAUAUCACAAUUACAAUAGCAAGUUCAAUAAAAAUUCAAUAAUUUUUAAAGUAAAAAUAAGGAAGGGGAAAAUGUAAUCCAAUGCAAAAUUGCUUGACAACCAAAAAAGAUAGUGCACAAUUCAUAAUAUAGUCUGAAAAAUCUUGAAUCUACAAUGGAAUGCAAUAUUGGAAAUUUUAGGAGUAAUGUGAAGGGCUAAGGAUUGGUCAAAGUCAAAUAGGUACUGACUACCGAUUUCCCAAUUACCCAUUUAAUUUACCUUAGUUUAAGAACAUAUACCAGUAACACGAGCACCCAUAUGAGUCGUAAUUUUUUCCUUUCCGAAAGAAUUGUCUAAUUCUAUUGCCAACACAGAAUAUUAACAAAUCCACUUGCACUAUGAAAUUACAUGAAUAUCAAGAAGUUAGGCAAAAAAUAAUGACUUAUACUUCGGCCAACUUCUUCAACAAGUAUUUGACAUAACAAAUGGUUUUAAAAUCCCAUUGCUAAGACAACCAAACUUUGUGCCUGAGCAUUCAACUAUUAAGAAUCAAAGCAAUAAAACAAGCUAAAAAAAAAGUCACUCAACUCAGCCUCAAUAUCAAGUUGAAGUCAUUCAGGAUUUUUGUGAUACUUAGAU
rnacentral:misc_RNA from 1 species